UACAGAGGGUGCGAGCGUUGUUCGGAAUUAUUGGGCGUAAAGCGCUUGUAGGCGGCACGUCAAGUCGCGUGUGAAAUCCCCAGGCUUAACCUGGGAAGUGCGCGCGAAACUGACGAGCUUGAGUGCCGGAGAGGGUCGCGGAAUUCCCGGUGUAGAGGUGAAAUUCGUAGAUAUCGGGAGGAACACCAGUGGCGAAGGCGGCGACCUGGACAGACACUGACUCUGAUACGCGAAA
rnacentral:rRNA from 1 species